rnacentral:rRNA from 1 species
UACAGAGGGUGCAAGCGUUGUUCGGAAUUAUUGGGCGUAAAGGGCGCGUAGGCGGUGCGGUAAGUCUGUAGUGAAAUCUCUGGGCUCAACUCAGAGUCUGCUGCAGAAACUGCCGUGCUUGAGUAUGGGAGAGGUGAGUGGAAUUUCCGGUGUAGCGGUGAAAUGCGUAGAUAUCGGAAGGAACACCUGUGGCGAAAGCGGCUCACUGGACCAUUACUGACGCUGAGGCACGAAAGCUAGGGGAGCAAACAGG